rnacentral:tRNA from 1 species
AAGGGUGUAGCUCAGUGGUAGAGUGUAUGCUUAGCAUGCACAAGAUCCUGGGUUCAAUCUCCAGUACCUCCA